rnacentral:lncRNA from 13 species
UCCAAAUGCCCGGAUUCCCAGAGAACCAACAAAGAUAAAGAAAGCUCAGGCUGAGUCCUGGAGAACAAGCAGGGAAUCACGGCCUCAGACCUGCCACAAUGGUGUGCAGGGCCUUGCCAACAGUAGGAAUUGAGACAUAUUGCUGUCCCCAGCACAUAGGAGGAUGCCAAGAGAAACCAACAGACACCGCGAAGCUCCUGCUACAUCAAAACUUAACCAGAACCUGGCUCAAAAGGGUACCGAGAACAAGAGGCCUAGGUGUCCAGCUGUGGAUCUCGCGCAGCGCCCUAUCCCAUGACUACCUUACCCUCCCUCAUCUGCCUCUCCCUGCUACAGAACCGCUGUCAUUUUUUUUUUGUUUGUUUUGACAUGGUGUUUUGUCUUGUUACCUGGGCUGGAGUGCAAUGGCGCAAUCUCCGAUCACCGCAGCCUCUGCCUCCUGGGUUCAAGCAAUUUUUCUGUCUUAGCCUCCCAAGAAGCUGCGAUUACAGAACACCCGGUUAAUUUUUGUAGUUUUAGUUGAGACGGAAUUUCAUCAAAUUGGUCAGGCUGGUCUCAAACUCCUGACCUAAGGUGAUGGGCCAACAUCAGCCUCCCAAAAUGCUAGGAUUACAGACGUGAGCCAUGGAGCCCGGCCCGCCGUCUGUAUUUUUUUUUUUUCAGACGGAGUUUCGCUCUUGUUACCCAGGCUGGAGUGCCAUGGCGCAAUCUCGGCUGACCGCAACCUCCGCCUCCUGGGUUCAGGCAAUUCUCCUGUCUCAGCCUCCUGAGUAGCUGGGACUACAGGCACGAACCACCAUGCCCAGCUAAUUUUUUGUAUUUUUAGUAGAGACGGGGUUUCACCUUGUCGACCAGGAUGGUCUCGAUCUCUUGACCUCGUGAUCCACCCUCCUCGGCCUCAGAAAGUGCUGGGAUUACAGGCGUGAGCCACCGCGCCCGGCCCCGCCCUCUGUUUUUAAAGCGGCCGCAGCCUGACUUCCAUGAACGCAGCAGCGAAGUCAGCCUAGCCAAUGCGGAAGCAGGAAGGGUGAAAAGGUUUUCGCGUCACAGUGACCACAGCUGAGCCAAUACGCAUGCAGGAAGCAUGAGAAGGUUCUUGUCACAGUGACCACCAACGUCGCCAGGGUGAUGGGUCCCUGAUGAGGGGGAGGUGAAGCCCUCCGUGGCACUGCGUAUGGUGGCUCCAGUCUGAUCUCUCGAGGAAGUGGACAGGAUGGCCUCCAAAUGCCGGGAUUCCUGGAGGACCGACCAAGAUAAAGAAAGCUCAGGCAGAGUCCUGGAGAACAAACAGGGGAUGACAGCCUCAGGCCUGCCAGGACCCUGUGCAGGUGAGUCUCCCCAAAAGUCAUGACCCCUGUGAUCUCCAGG